AAACAGGUGUGAGACUGGAUCCUGGGAAACAGGCUGGGAUGGUCCCGUAAGUUCGGGCGGUGCCCUUCGGGGGUAACCCCACCGCCGACGUAUCACCUCACACGCUGUU
rfam:Tobacco bushy top virus, complete genome.